GACAGAGGGUGCGAACGUUGUUCGGAAUUACUGGGCGUAAAGCGCGUGUAGGCGGCAGCGCAAGUCGGGCGUGAAAUCCCACGGCUCAACCGUGGAAGUGCACUCGAAACUGCGCAGCUAGAGUCCUGGAGAGGAAGGUGGAAUGCUUGGUGUAGAGGUGAAAUGCGCAGAUAUCAGGAAGAACACCCGUGGCGAAAGCGGCUCUCUGGGACGGUACUGACGCUGAGACGCGAAAGCGUGGGGAGCGAACAGG
rnacentral:rRNA from 1 species